CGAUGUUGCCGCCUUGCUGGAGCACCUCGCAGACGCAGGCCACUUGCUCUUGGGUGAAGCCAAAAGUCGGGAGCAUCGACAUGUGGUUGAAUCUGAACGGGAGCAGCUGUUCGCCCUAGCCGGAAAGGAGAUGUCAAAACCUGUUGCGUGGAUUUAGAUCUGAGAGUCUUCUUAGCACCCUAAAAUAACAGGAGGCGCGAAUCGCCUGUUCACGUUUGUUCCCGGUCCGACGGGAUCGUUUCACUUGGUUGCUGCCGGCUGUCUCCAGUUUAGCUGCUGUGGAAGGUUUUAUUUGAGGUGACCCAAAAGGCGGGUUUCAUCCCGGCCCCGGCCCCGACUGCCACUUUGCCCAGG